rnacentral:rRNA from 1 species
UACAGAGGGUGCGAGCGUUAAUCGGAAUUACUGGGCGUAAAGGGCUCGUAGGUGGCCAACUAAGUCAGACGUGAAAUCCCUCGGCUUAACCGGGGAACUGCGUCUGAUACUGGAUGGCUUGAGUUUGGGAGAGGGAUGCGGAAUUCCAGGUGUAGCGGUGAAAUGCGUAGAUAUCUGGAGGAACACCGGUGGCGAAGGCGGCAUCCUGGACCAACACUGACACUGAGGAGCGAAAGCCAGGGGAGCAAACGGG